UAUAUCGUAGCAAGGUAGCCGUAGAGGUGAGAGUUGGAGCCUGGCGUCAUUGAUAAACAUGCCUGGUGAGUCGCGUGGACAGCGAUUGUGUAAACGACUGCUAAUACCGCAUAAUGUCUACGGACCAAAGGGGGCUUCGGCUCUCGCCUUUAGAUUGGCCCAAGUGGGAUUAGCUAGUUGGUGAGGUAAUGGCUCACCAAGGCGACGAUCCCUAGCUGGUUUGAGAGGAUGAUCAGCCACACUGGGACUGAGACACGGCCCAGACUCCUACGGGAGGCAGCAGUGGGGAAUAUUGCACAAUGGGCGCAAGCCUGAUGCAGCCAUGCCGCGUGUGUGAAGAAGGCCUUCGGGUUGUAAAGCACUUUCAGUCAGGAGGAAAGGUUAGUAGUUAAUACCUGCUAGCUGUGACGUUACUGACAGAAGAAGCCCCGCCUAACUCCGUGCCAGCAGCCGCGGUAAUACGGAGGGUGCGAGCGUUAAUCGGAAUUACUGGGCGUAAAGCGUACGCAGGCGGUUUGUUAAGCGAGAUGUGA
rnacentral:rRNA from 1 species